CACGUAGGGCGCAAGCGUUGUCCGGAAUUAUUGGGCGUAAAGAGCUCGUAGGUGGUUUGUUACGUCUGCUGUGAAAACCUAGGGCUUAACCCUGGGCUUGCAGUGGAUACGGGCAGACUAGAGGUAGGUAGGGGAGAAUGGAAUUCCUGGUGUAGCGGUGAAGUGCGCAGAUAUCAGGAGGAACACCGGUGGCGAAGGCGGUUCUCUGGGCCUUACCUGACACUGAGGAGCGAAAGCGUGGGGAGCGAACAGG
rnacentral:rRNA from 1 species